GGUGCUGCAGCUGAGGAGAUGGGAGCUCAGCCUCAAAUCCAUCGCCCUGACUGACUAAAAAUGGGGUUUUAUACAACAGGCAAGAAAUGUAACAAUGUGUAGGAAACACGAACUAGGGAGGAACAAGGAGUCAUCUGGUGGCCUCAUCUGGGAGCUCAACCUCACAAGACAGACCGUCAUGUAGAGACAACUGCUACACAACAUGGGAAGAACUGCUAGAGAUGUAAGAUGUAACGACCCAAAAUGAAGAAGCCAGAACACAUGAACACGAAACCAGCCAACCAACAAACACAAGCAGCAUGGAGCAUAGAGUCUGGGGACCAACUGCAGGGUGCUGAGGAAUGCAGCAGUUACAAACAAACAAACUCACCAAAGAAAACACCAGACAAACAUACAUCCAAUAGUAUUGUGUCCGGAAUUGGUGGGUUCUUGGUCUCACUGACUUCAAGAAUGAAGCCACAGACCCUUGCGCUGAAGGCAAUUGAGAAAAAGAAGAUGCGAGAAGAGCUAUUUACCCUUCCUUUAUCUGCUUAAAAGCAAGGAAUAAAUUUCCAUUAUAAAGGUGUCCCCUUGUUCUCAUACCAAGAAGAGGAGACAGCAUCAAGGUUACUCUACAUAAAGAAACCCAACUAAAUAACCCUUAUCUAUAAUAGUUUCUCCCAUAUAUUUACCUUCCUACAAUUUAAUGCCCCUAGAAGCCCAAGCCCCUUUUCUUUGGUUGCUUUCCCACAAUUUAUCGUACUUUGUUAAAAUGGUAGGUAAGCUCCUUAGUGUAACCACUUCUUUGGAUUUUUUUAGUUCUUUCUCUGCAGUUCCCAUGCAUAUAAAAAUAUUAACAACAAAUAAAAUUUGUAUGCUCUUCAUUCGUUGGUCCAUCUUUUGUCAGUUUAAUUCACAAAUUAAGCUGCAGAACCUAAGAGGAUGGAGGAAAAGUUUUCCUUUCUUACAAGAUCAUGCAGCAUCUGCUUCACUUACUGAGGAGCCCUGAGCCACCAUGUAUAAAAUCUGAAUACCCGAAGACCCCCGUACUGUGAGGAAGCCCGACCACAUGGAGAGGCCACAUGAAGGUUCUCAAAUCAGAACCCCAGCUGAGGUCCCAGCCUACAACCAGUAUCAACCACCAGACAUAGGUAUUGAUUUUAAUCAACUUUCAAGAUGAAGCACCACAUUUGUCAAGGCAGAAGACCCAAAUGUGCAAUUUUUUCUUAGGGGAAAACUGGCUAUAAUGAAUGUGCUAAAAUAUGUUAGUUAUCUACUAACCUCAACACGCAAGAAAGCACUAGAUCAUCAGUUUUCCUGGUAAGGGAAAAAACAGCGGCUGCAGCCUGCCCAGCUACAGAAGAAAGUGGAAUCAGCAGAACAAGUGGCCUGUGAAGAUGCCAGCUUGUGAGAAAUGCCUGGCUGACUGUGAACAGGGAUAUUAUUAAAUGGAUGCAUAUGAUGCAUAGCGUAAUUAUACCACUUAUGGCAGAAAAAAAUCACCAUUUUAUCAAAUGCUCCACUGUGUACAUCAAAGAUCAUGGUGUCAUCCAUCUCUGGGAUGCUAUGUGAGCUUUGCAGUUCUGGAAGGGCUUCGAGUCCAGUUUUGAUUAAU